rnacentral:rRNA from 1 species
GAUGAACGCUAGCGGCAGGCCUAACACAUGCAAGUCGAGGGGUAGAGGAAGCUUGCUUCCUUGAGACCGGCGCACGGGUGCGUAACGCGUAUGCAAUCUACCUUUUACAGAGGGAUAGCCCAAAGAAAUUUGGAUUAAUACCUCAUAGUAUAUAUCAUUCGCAUGUUUGGUAUAUUAAAGUUCCAACGGUAAAAGAUGAGCAUGCGUCCCAUUAGUUAGUUGGUAAGGUAACGGCUUACAAAGACGAUGAUGGGUAGGGGUCCUGAGAGGGGGAUCCCCCACACUGGUACUGAGACACGGACCAGACUCCUACGGGAGGCAGCAGUGAGGAAUAUUGGUCAAUGGACGCAAGUCUGAACCAGCCAUGCCGCGUGCAGGAAGACGGUCCUAUGGAUUGUAAACUGCUUUUGUACGGGAAGAAACACUCCUACGUGUAGGAGCCUGACGGUACCGUAAGAAUAAGGAUCGGCUAACUCCGUGCCAGCCGCCGCAGUAAAAC